UCAAAGAAUCCAUCCGAUCGAGAGGAGAGAAGAGAAGAGAGAGACGAAAACAAAAAGAAAAAAAAUUCACAAAACCUUUCUUUCAUUUUCCCGUCACUUUCUCGGAAGGAUUCGUCGUUUCUCUCUUGCCAUCAUCCUCCUCACGAACAAUCGAGAAAGAGUCAUCCUGCCACGGAGAACUACUAAUCCCAAACUACCAUUACCUUCUCUCGAUAAGUUGACCCCGACGAAUCCGCCUGUAGAAAUGGCUAGCCAAGGCGGGUCAUCAAGACGGAGCUUAUCCGUAACGACUUCGUCUUUGCACGGGAAGAAGAAAUCCAUGGAACUCGGCGAGCGAGGCCUCGACACUGGCCGGAGAUCUCUAACUGUUUCGCGUUCCCCUUUGGGUUUAACGGGAGGAGAGCGAACUGUUAAACGCUUAAGGCUAUCGAAAGCCAUUACAGUUCCAGCAACGACUACUAUCUAUGAUGCUUGUAAAAACAUGGCUUCGAGGAAAGUUGACGCCUUGUUGUUGACCGACUCUAAUGAAAUGCUUUGUGGGAUUCUUACUGACAGGGACAUAGCCACAAGGGUGAUAUCGCAGGAAGUUAAUGUGGAGGAAACACCUGUGUCCAAGGUUAUGACUAGGAACCCAAUGUUCGUUCUUUCUGAGACACUUGCUGUUGACGCUCUUCAGAAGAUGGUCCUAGGGAAAUUCAGACAUCUGCCUGUUGUUGAAAAUGGCGAAGUGAUUGCUCUACUUGAUAUAGCCAAGUGUCUGUAUGAUGCGAUUGCUCGUAUGGAGAGGGCAGCUGAGAAAGGUAAGGCAAUAGCUGCUGCUGUAGAAGGUGUUGAAAGAAGUUGGGGAACAAACACUUCAGUUCACAACACUUUCAUUGAAACGCUUCGAGACCGGAUGUUUAGACCUUCUUUAUCAACAAUUAUACCAGAUGAUUCAAAGGUUUUGAAAGUCUCACCAGCCGAUACAGUAUUGACUGUAGCAAAGAAGAUGGUUGAACUUCAGUCAAGCUGUGCAGUCGUGAUGAUCGAGGACAAGCUUGGAGGGAUAUUUACUUCCAAGGAUAUACUGAUGCGGGUCGUGGCUGAAAAUCUUCCUCCAUCUGAGACUACAAUGGAACAGGUUAUGACUCAGAAUCCAGAAUCUACGUCAGUUGACACACCAAUCGUUGAAGCUCUGCACAUCAUGCACGAGGGGAAAUUUCUACACCUUCCUGUUACGGACAAAGAAGGAGAUGUAGUUGCAGUUGUCGAUGUAAUCCAUGUAACUCACGCUGCUGUCGCCACAGCUGGAACUACUGCGGGAAUAGGUAACGAAGCAACAAACACAAUGAUGCAAACGUUUUGGGAUUCAGCAAUGGCAUUGUCUCCUAAUGAGGAAGACGAGGACACGAGAAGUGAAAGCUCUUUGAAAGUUGCUUCUGAAGCUGAGACAGGAAAAUCCUUACCUUUGCCAAAUAAAUUUUCUUUCAAGAUCGAAGACAAGAAGCACAGAAUGCACAGAUUCAUAAGUGACACUCGUAGUUUGACAGAAGUGGUAACCGCGAUACUUCAAAGACUAGGGGAUGAUAUCGAUCCAGACCACAUACCCCAAAUUUUUUAUGAAGAUGAAGACCACGAUAAAGUGUUGUUGGCUUCAGAUAGUGACCUUCAAGCAGCUAUAGACCAUGCAAAAUCAAUUGGCUGGAAGAGUCUGAGAUUACAUUUAGAUGAUUCAAGAAAAGGCAAAGUAAGAAGAAGAAGAGCAACGGUUUCGGCAGAAGCAAUGGAGUAUGUUGAGAGAGACGGUUGGGGUGCUACUUACAGUGGAGUAGCGGCUGGUGCAGCAUUAGUAGCUGGUCUUGGUUUUAUGGCUUAUCUCAAGAGAGCCGGACAGUGACUCCUCAGAGAGACAAUCAAGUUCUCUUACAGAUCGAUACAAACAAAACAAAAAAGUGUGACGCAACUGAAAACACAGAGAUGAACACACAUUAUAGAUCCUUCAGCUAAACCUAAUGGUUAGUAACACCAUUAUGUUCAUUACCUUCUGAGAAUUGGGAAUCGCAACAAGAACAGCACGAAGAGAAGUCACGGAGUUCUUAUACCGAACACUAGCUUCAUCCAGAGCACUAUUCCCACUUCCUCCGCCCCCGCCACCACCAGAUUCCGAAUGAUGCGGUGCUCCGUCAAUCGCAGCCGCGUCGGCGGUAACGAUAGCCGUACCGUUAGAACUCGCGGUGGCUGGUGUAGACCACGAAGAAGGAU